AGGACGAACGCUGGCGGCGUGCUUAACACAUGCAAGUCGAGCGAGGUCCAGCCGAUGGCAACAUCGGUGAAGACCUAGCGGCGAACGGGUGAGUAACACGUGAGCAACCUGCCCCGAAGACCGGGAUAACAGCGGGAAACCGCUGCUAAUACCGGAUGCCCUCAUCAGGCCGCAUGACCAGAUGAGGAAAUGAAUUUCGCUUCGGGAGGGCUCGCGGGCUAUCAGCUAGUUGGUGAGGUAACGGCUCACCAAGGCUACGACGGCUAGCUGGUCUGAGAGGACGACCAGCCACACUGGGACUGAGACACGGCCCAGACUCCUACGGGAGGCAGCAGUGGGGAAUCUUGCGCAAUGGGCGAAAGCCUGACGCAGCAACGCCGCGUGGGGAUGAAGGCCUUCGGUCGUAAACCCCUUUCAGCAGGACGAAAAUGACGGUACCUGCAGAAGAAGCCCGGCCAACUACGUAGCCAGCAGCCGC
rnacentral:rRNA from 1 species